AUGGAUACUUCUUUUUAUCCCCUUUAAAUGCACAGUUCCACAAAAAGAAUGAACUGGUGCUCCUAUUUCUUUAGUAACAGUCGGCUAAUAAUGUUUGUUUUUCAGUAAAAGUUAAUGUGGUCACAAUUCCUUGUCGGUUAUUAUUAGCAAUUCUUUAAUCAUCAGUGCCCCUUCAUCCCUUGUGUCUUCGUUUGGCCGUUUUCAUAAGCAUCCUUGAAAUACCACUGUGGCGUUAGCACGGGCAUUAUACUAGUGAAUAUAACUGGGCUCUCCCAUGGUGGUCAGCUCUUCCAAGGUUAGAGAUAUUGCUGCUACGGGCUCCAGCCUGCGGGGCGAGGCCGGGCAAGUCCCCUAGCUACACCACCAAGGGCGUGAGCCGGGAGUAGAGGGUAGGCGCAGGCCACCGAAAGGCCCAAUGCUACCUCUAGUCGGUAGCCAUGUCGCGGGGGAAGGAGUAGAUGAGCAGCGGCAAGCGGCCUAGAGGGAGAGGAGGAGAUGACCCGGGGGGAGCAGGCCGAAGAGAGGAGGAGCGUCAGCAUCGCUUACUGCACCACCGCCACCGCUUACUGUGUCGCCGCCACUUGCCACGCCACCACUAUGAAAUCUCUAGUUUGGUUUUGGAUAAUUGAUAAAACCCAAGUACUAACCUUUAUGCUAAGUGUGUGUAGAUUAGAUGAGAUUGGUAUAUGGCAAGUGUUGGAGCAAGAGAUGAUGAUGGUGACGAUGGUGAUGACCACAAGAUGAUUAAGUGCUCAACUUAGAAAAAAAAGAAAGAAAAACAAAACCCUAUGGAGAUCAAGGCAAAGAUAUUGCUUAUAAUUUUUGGUUUUGGUGAUCAAGACAUCAUAGAGGGUGUGAUCACAUUUAGGAUAGAUAGUCGUACUAUAAAGAGGGCAAUUCUUUGGUUAAGCGGUUAUCGAGUGUUACUAGGUAACAUUGUUCAUGUACAUGCAUUUAGAACCUAGUGUGCUAACUUAACCCUUGAAAAUGUUUGUGAAAAUAUGUUAACACAUGUGCAUAAGGUGAAACACUUGGUGGUUAGCACGUUUGAGCAAGGGUUGAAGAGGUGGAGAGGGGUUUGGGUCUCUCUCUCUCUCUCUCGCCGAGCAAGCUCAGUGGGAUUCGGCACUUUUGAGAAUGAAAUGCAUAUUUUUUAUUGCACCGAUGGAAAGUUUGGAGAAGUCACAGGAGUGUUUUUCAAACACUCACUAGACACUGACUCUAGGAGCAUCGAACGUUGGGCC
rnacentral:lncRNA from 1 species